rnacentral:rRNA from 1 species
GGCUCAGGAUGAACGCUAGCGGCAGGCUUAACACAUGCAAGUCGAGGGGCAGCAUGAAGGUUAGCAAUAACCUUGAUGGCGACCGGCGCAAGGGUGCGUAACGCGUGAGCAACUUGCCCGUUUCUGGGGGAAUAACCGGUGGAAACGCCGACUAAUACCCCAUGGCAUCAGAUUGAGGCAUCUUAAUUUGAUUAAAGAAUUUCGGAAACGGAUAGGCUCGCGUGACAUUAGCUAGAUGGCGGGUAACGGCCACCAUGGCUACGAUGUCUAGGGGUUCUGAGAGGAAGGUCCCCCACACUGGAACUGAGACACGGUCCAGACUCCUACGGGAGGCAGCAGUGAGGAAUAUUGGUCAAUGGGCGAGAGCCUGAACCAGCCAAGUAGCGUGAAGGAAGACUGCCCUAUGGGUUGUAAACUUCUUUUGUUCGGGAAUAAAGUGCAGUACGCGUACUGUUUUGUAUGUACCGUUCGAAUAAGCAUCGGCUAAUUCCGUG